ensembl:lncRNA
AGUUAAUGAUGAGGUUGAACAGAAAAGCAGCGUGCUCUGGAACUCAGAGUUAGAUAACCCUGCUCAAACAAUCCAUCACUAUAGAUAAAAAGAAAAAAGCCAAUUCUACUAUGGUGCAGAACAUAACACUUUGAAAAAUGUUGUACAGCGUAUGAAGUUGUUUUACAAAAACAACAGUUUUGUCUCACUACUUAUCGUUUCCAUGUUGCUGUUGUUCCUGGCAGUGAUGGUAUGGGGACUUGGCAUGAAGACAAUUUUCAUACUAAAUCCAAAGCAACUCUUAAAUACUAGAUAGGAACUUCACAAUAAGUGACUGAGCAUUAUCAGCAUGACUAAUUGUAUUAUUCUAACUGAAUAGAUUUAAAAUCUAAGAGCCUAAACAUAUGUAUUAGUGGCCGAUUCAUUUUGUCACUGAAGUUCUCUUAAAAUAUAAGUAGCCUUCUGGGAUUAUUUUUGGCUUAAUGGAAAAUAUUCAAGCUCCUGGAAGAAAACAGAAGGGAUAAAUCAGAACAAGAACCUGGAGGUAUAUUGGUUCUAAUUAUUCUCCCAUGCUGGCGUGCAGACAUUUAGGACAAAGCAAAGGAGGAAAGCGACCAACCAACCACUAAUUUUCAUUCCAUCUUUGUAUUGAGAAACCACCUGAAGGAAGCGAAACGCUGGACAACUGCACAAUGAGACACACUUCAAAAACAGUUGCAUAGAUGGAUCAAAAACAUUCUGGAGUGGCUGCAGCAUGUUCCUGAUAUACUGGUCAUCAACAUGGACUGAAGUGGUGGAUGAAAACCUGGUACCUGGAGACAAAUUCACCUUUUUACAGCACAAUAACCACAACACAAAAGGAAACAAAAUGUGAGAGAAGUGAAGGGGUGCAAACACUUUCUGAAGGCACGGUAUUUGGAUAGGAAGAGACCGAGUCAAAGAGGGAUGCAAUCCACAGGGACGCCAAAGUGACAUUAUCCACGUACAUGGUCAGUGAAACACGCACGGCCAAAAAUCCCAGCCAACUCAAACAAGUAUAAUAAAUUGUAAGAGAAUGAGCCAGAAAAAGCUGUAAGAUUGUUCAUGUGUGGUAUACAAAACACAGAUUAAUGGAAUUCUAUUGGGAACAUAUGGUCAGAAGGAAGAUGAGAGGUAGACAAG